rnacentral:rRNA from 1 species
UACGGAGGAUGCAAGCGUUAUCCGGAAUGAUUGGGCGUAAAGGGUCCGCAGGUGGCACUGUAAGUCUGCUGUCAAAGCACAAGGCUUAACCUUGUAAAGGCAGUGGAAACUACAGAGCUAGAGUACGGUAGGGGCAGAGGGAAUUCCUGGUGUAGCGGUGAAAUGCGUAGAGAUCAGGAAGAACACCGGUGGCGAAAGCGCUCUGCUAGACCUGUACUGACACUGAGGGACGAAAGCUAGGGGAG